GAUGAACGCUGGCGGCGUGCCUAAUACAUGCAAGUCGAGCGAACAGACGAGGAGCUUGCUCCGCUGACGUUAGCGGCGGACGGGUGAGUAACACGUGGAUAACCUACCUAUAAGACUGGGGUAACUUCGGGAAACCGGAGCUAAUACCGGAAAAUAUAUUGAACCGCAAGGUUCAAUAGUGAAAGACGGUUUUGCUGUCAAUUAUAGAUGGACCCGCGCCGCAUUAGCUAGUUGGUAAGGUAACGGCUUACCAAGGCAACGAUGCGUAGCCGAUCUGAGAGGGUGAUCGGCCACACUGGAACUGAGACACGGUCCAGACUCCUACGGGAGGCAGCAGUAGGGAAUCUUCCGCAAUGGGCGAAAGCCUGACGGAGCAACGCCGCGUGAGUGAUGAAGGUCUUCGGAUCGUAAAACUCUGUUAUUAGGGAAGAACAAAUGUGUAAGUAACUAUGCACGUCUUGACGGUACCUAAUCAGAAAGCCACGGCUAACUACGUG
rnacentral:rRNA from 1 species